GAGUAACUAUGACUCUCUUAAGGUAGCCAAAUGCCUCGUCAUCGUAAUAAUAAAAGGUAGCCUCCACAAGCGUGUGGUCCCUCUCGGGGGAUCCUCGCUAGUAGCAUGUGCUUGCGGUAGCGAGACCCACUGUUGCCCCUAGGGUAACGAAGCGUCGAGCGAAACAGCGCAUCGCUGAUCCCUUCAUUGCCUCCCAUUCGAUUAAUUAGCGUGAGCCCUAUCAAAUUGACGCGAUAGGGUUUACCGGGGGGACGCUUACGGCUAUAUUGAUAGAAUCGUAUCGAAACGAACAUGCUUCAGGGGACCCUGCAAAGCGUAUGGGAGAGACCCCACGCUGCAUCGAACCGAGGCAUAGAGACCGAACAGCCUGUAUUAAGCGUGGAUAAAAGAAACGGUCCGUGGUAUGCAAUCGACAGCGGUAACAGGUGUAGCGAGGAGCGCUUUGGUAUAGUUAAGCCCAGUGGCUAUGCCCGCUCGAUAGCUACGGUUACCGAGGUCACCCGGUAUGCUAAUAAAGCCGCGUUAAUUUGUGACGCGCAUGAAUGGAUUAAUGAGAUUCCCACUGUCCCUACCUACUAUCUAGCGAAACCACAGUCAAGGGAACGGGCUUGACACAAUUAGCAGGGAAAGAAGACCCUGUUGAGCUUGACUCUAGGCAUAGACGCGAGGUGAUUCUAAAGGUGUAGCAUAGGUGGGAGGGCCCAGCCCGAUCCUGAAAUACCACCACUUUCGACAUCGCUUUGCUAAUGCUGUAACGAAUGAACGACCCCCCUUCUGAAGCCCGCAAGGGUGGAAGCUGGGUAAGGUCAUAUUCUGGCGUCGUCCUCGAUCGCAUGACGAGUCGGCUACCCUGGGAUAGUACUUCGAAUCCGUAAUUCGGGCUUCCGGGUCUGGAGAGCGCUGUGUUUGGGGGAACUAGGUGUGAUGGCGCGUCCUCUGCGGUCUUUAUUGGUACAUAGUCAGUAGCAGACUAUCUAUGUUGGGGAGUUUGGCUGGGGCGGAAAACUGCUACACGGCAACGGCAGUCUCCUAAGGUCCACUCAGAGACGACAGAAACGUCUCGUAGAGCAUAAAGGCAAAAGUGGGCUUAACUCACGUUUUCAGUAGUAAUGUGAAGCAAGAAAUUGAGGCUUAACGAUCCUUAGCGGCGGGUGCCAGCCCACGCUUGAGGUGAGAGAAAAGUUACCACAGGGAUUGAUAAAUAGCGACCCGCUUCGUAUCGAGAGAACGCCUUGACGAAGGUUAGUAUCCAGGCUUAGAGGGGAGCAACACACGAUGGUAACACGGUUCAAGCCUUUGACGCAAUGCUAUGGAGUAAUUUACCGGCGCAACGCGAGCUCAUUGGCACAAGGUACGUCCCAAAUAGCAUCUCCCGCAGGGCAAGGGGAGAGGGCGACACACCUGGAUGCUGGGAGGGGUCUCCACAGUAGCUUCGGCUACGAAAAGAUCGAUGGUACCAAGCGUAUCUAGGCAACACCUAGACGCAGAGCAAGCUUACUGAGCCGAGGGCAACGUAACGCAUGCCGGUCAUAAUCUAUCGUAUCUGGAUUCCCCCCAAUCAGCAGGCAACAAGGCUUUCCCAGCUACAUGCAACCUGAGUAUGUGUGGUGACUCGAUGCCCCUUCGGGGGAUAGAACCCGCUCUAACAGCAACCGUAGUCGGCAUCAAUGGAUAGCUGCGUGCUUCAAUGACUGGUAAGGUGUGGGUGUAGACGGGCGUAAGCAUCGGAAAUAACCAAAGUCUGAGCGAUACGUUUCAAGGUCUGGAAACCGUCUAUGCUUAAGGUACAGUCUCAGCCUCGAUAAGGGAACGAAUGCGCUUCGACUGGUGCCACGGUGCUGCCGAUGCUUGUCGCUAGAUCAACAGGAUACAACUACCCACAAACCUCUCAAACAUGAACCAGAGGGAGGGCACAGGCGUAUCUUAAAAAGGGGGAGCCACUCUGAAAAGGGUUGGUGAACCUGGGUUGUGAUAGGUCAGACGCGUCCUGCGGACAAGGGUGUAGAGGUGGUCGAAGUGUCAGGGUGUCUUUCAGCGGGUGUGCCUUCGGGCACACUCCCAAGAGUGCUGCAAAAGGGUGUCUCAAUGCUGUAACCCUCUGGGUGAGAGCUGGGUGGCAAAGCACGGCCGAAAGAUCCGUAGCGGUGACAACGAGCGAACGCGUUUAUAUUAACGCUUGGUGUUGCUGCUAAGGAAGUAGUAGGUUUGUUGCAGGUUGGCUCACACUGGAUCCCCUUCGGGGGGGAAGGUACGCUGGUUAUUUCUCUCGCUUCGGCUAUGGGUUAUGCUGGCUGGCGGCUUCAAUUGGUACGUGGUGUGCGACAUGGUACGUAUGCGGCGAUAAAACGAUUGGGUGGCGUUGGUGACGUUAAAUAGAGGCGAUACAUAUAAAUAUAAUCAUGCUGGCGGAACUGGCUUGUGGCCGCCAAGCGUUCAUAGCGACGUGGC
rnacentral:rRNA from 1 species